rnacentral:rRNA from 1 species
GACGAACGCUGGCGGCGUGCUUAACACAUGCAAGUCGAACGGAAAGGCCUGCUUUCCCUUGUGGAUUGCGGGUACUCGAGUGGCGAACGGGUGAGUAACACGUGAGUGAUCUGCCCCCAACUUGGGUAUAAGCCUGGGAAACUGGGUCUAAUUCCCGAUAGGACUGCAGGGUGGUGCCUGUGGUGGAAAACGAUUUUCUAGUGGUUGGGGAUGAGCUCGCGGCCUAUCAGCUUGUUGGUGGGGUAAUGGCCUACCAAGGCGGCGACGGGUAGCCGGCCUGAGAGGGUGGACGGGCACAUUGGGACUGAGAUACGGCCCAGACGCCUACGGGAGGCAGCAGUGGGGAGGAAUGGACGAUGGGCGGAAGCCUGAUGCAGCGACGCCGCGUGGGGGAUGACGGCCUUCGGGUUGUAAACUCCUUUCGACCGCGAGGAAGCCACCUGGUUGGAAGGGUGGUGACGGUAGUGGUAGAAGAAGCACCGGCUAACUACGUG